rnacentral:lncRNA from 1 species
AAAAUUCGAAAAAAGUGAUAAAAAGAUCAAGGAAGUGAAGAGUGUUGGAGCAGCACAAAGUGAGGGGUUUGUGGAGAGAGAAAAGCCGUGCCUGGGUCGUCCUUUUAUAAUGUUUAAAUUCUGCAGAAAUAGUAUGUGGAAGCGGAGGCGGAUAUGAAACCCUAGACAUGUACUGUCCCACGCGCGACAAAGGAGCGUGAUCCACGCACAUUUUGAAAAUGGGUAAGUAACUGUACCAGUGGUCCCAAAUCCCAACCCCCAACCUAUUGUGUCGAGAGCAAGUUAAUCUUCAGACCUUUCAAAAUCCUUGCACUACUUGUAUUUAUUACAAAGUUGUCCAACCCUUCAAUAAUUACCGUGGUCUUGUUGAAACAUAAACUUCCCCAAAAAUAUUUGACUUGUCUUCGUGAGGGAGGCGGAUAUGAAACCCUAGACACGUACUGUCCCACGCGCGACAAAGGAGCGUGAGUCCACGCACAUUUUGAAAAUGGGUAAGUAACUGUACCAGUGGUCCCAAAUCCCAACCCCCAACCUAUUGUGUCGAGAGCAAGUUAAUCUUCAGACCUUUCAAAAUCC